GGACUUGUAGCUCAGGCGGUUAGAGCGCACGCCUGAUAAGCGUGAGGUCGGUGGUUCGAGUCCACCCAGGUCCACCA
rnacentral:tRNA from 2 species